rnacentral:rRNA from 1 species
GGCGGUGGCGGCUGCUUACCAUGCAGUCGAACGGUGAAGGAAAGCUUGCUUUCUGGAUCAGUGGCGAACGGGUGAGUAACACGUGAGCAAUCUGCCCCUGACUCUGGGAUAACAGUUGGAAACAGCUGCUAAUACCGGAUAUGAGCUGCGACCGCAUGGUCGGCAGUUGGAAAGAAUUUCGGUCAGGGAUGAGCUCGCGGCCUAUCAGCUUGUUGGUGAGGUAAUGGCUCACCAAGGCGUCGACGGGUAGCCGGCCUGAGAGGGUGACCGGCCACACUGGGACUGAGACACGGCCCAGACUCCUACGGGAGGCAGCAGUGGGGAAUAUUGCACAAUGGGCGCAAGCCUGAUGCAGCAACGCCGCGUGAGGGACGACGGCCUUCGGGUUGUAAACCUCUUUUAGCAGGGAAGAAGCGAAAGUGACGGUACCUGCAGAAAAAGCACCGGCUAACUACGUGCCAGCAGCCGCGGUAAUACGUAGGGUGCGAGCGUUAUCCGGAAUUAUUGGGCGUAAAGACUCGUAGGCUGUUUGUCGCGUCGGCUGUGAAACCCCGAGGC